rnacentral:rRNA from 1 species
UACAGAGGUCUCGAGCGUUAGGCGGAAUCACUGGGCUUAAAGCGUGUGUAGGCGGAUCGUUAAGUGCCUUGUGAAAUCCCACGGCUUAACCGUGGAACUGCUUGGCAUACUGGCGGUCUUGAGCAACCUAGGGGCGAGCGGAACAAAUGGUGGAGCGGUGAAAUGCGUAGAUAUCAGGAGGAACACCGGUGGCGAAGGCGGGUCUCUGGGCCGAAAUUGACGCUGAGGAGCGAAAGCGUGGGGAGCGAACAGG